CUCCUUACAUACUGCAGAGAUCACAUUUCCACAAUUAACUGCAGAUAAACAACCUGCAAUGUUUUGUUGUGUAACAACCUCGAAUAUGUGUGUGUGUGUGUGUGUGUGUGUGUGUGUGUGUGUGUGUGUGUGUGUGCGCGCGCUAAUGCUAGUAAAUCUGUAGCAGUCUGUAAAAACUCCUGACAUGAGAUUCAGACUACAAUCUUGAAAAUACUCUCAUACAACUAUAAGUAUGUGCACCCCAUGACCAUCUUCUUGCAGAACAUCUCCUUCCAGAUGUAUUCCUCUUCAGUGUUGUAAUGCUCUCCACUCUUCUACGAAGGCUUCAGGGUGAGGUGUGGGGUUUACGCUACAUUCAGAUAUUCUACAAGAGCAUUAUUGAGAUCGGACCCUGAUGUUGGAGAAGAGCAGAAUGCAUGUUUUGCGUUUCGUCUUCAGCUGCAGGUCGAGGUCAAGCAGCAGAGCCAGGAAGUUCCUGUUGGGGUAGAUGGCUCGUUUCUGGACCAGGCGCUGGAUGGCUGAGCACAGAGACAUGUGCUGAUACAGCAUCAGUUUUCAGGCCUCUGUGUAUGAAGUCUGCAGCAGGUUUGAAGUAAACGUCCAGGUCAAAGUGAGUUGAGUCGUCCGCCGGGAUUCCGCAGUAGACGAAGCUCGUGCCGUAGAACUUUUGGUCCCCG